ACGGAGCCCGGAGGGCGAGGCCCGCGGCGGCGCCGCCGCCGCCGCGCGCUUCCCUCCGCACACCCACCCCCCCACCGCGACGCGGCGCGUGCGCGGGCGGGGCCCGCGUGCCCGUUCGUUCGCUCGCUCGUUCGUUCGCCGCCCGGCCCCGCCGCCGCGAGAGCCGAGAACUCGGGAGGGAGACGGGGGGGAGAGAGAGAGAGAGAGAGAGAGAGAGAGAGAGAGAGAGAGAAAGAAGGGCGUGUCGUUGGUGUGCGCGUGUCGUGGGGCCGGCGGGCGGCGGGGAGCGGUCCCCGGCCGCGGCCCCGACGACGUGGGUGUCGGCGGGCGCGGGGGCGGUUCUCGGCGGCGUCGCGGCGGGUCUGGGGGGGUCUCGGUGCCCUCCUCCCCGCCGGGGCCCGUCGUCCGGCCCCGCCGCGCCGGCUCCCCGUCUUCGGGGCCGGCCGGAUUCCCGUCGCCUCCGCCGCGCCGCUCCGCGCCGCCGGGCACGGCCCCGCUCGCUCUCCCCGGCCUUCCCGCUAGGGCGUCUCGAGGGUCGGGGGCCGGACGCCGGUCCCCUCCCCCGCCUCCUCGUCCGCCCCCCCGCCGUCCAGGUACCUAGCGCGUUCCGGCGCGGAGGUUUAAAGACCCCUUGGGGGGAUCGCCCGUCCGCCCGUGGGUCGGGGGCGGUGGUGGGCCCGCGGGGGAGUCCCGUCGGGAGGGGCCCGGCCCCUCCCGCGCCUCCACCGCGGACUCCGCUCCCCGGCCGGGGCCGCGCCGCCGCCGCCGCCGCGGCGGCCGUCGGGUGGGGGCUUUACCCGGCGGCCGUCGCGCGCCUGCCGCGCGUGUGGCGUGCGCCCCGCGCCGUGGGGGCGGGAACCCCCGGGCGCCUGUGGGGUGGUGUCCGCGCUCGCCCCCGCGUGGGCGGCGCGCGCCUCCCCGUGGUGUGAAACCUUCCGACCCCUCUCCGGAGUCCGGUCCCGUUUGCUGUCUCGUCUGGCCGGCCUGAGGCAACCCCCUCUCCUCUUGGGCGGGGGGGGCGGGGGGACGUGCCGCGCCAGGAAGGGCCUCCUCCCGGUGCGUCGUCGGGAGCGCCCUCGCCAAAUCGACCUCGUA
rnacentral:precursor_RNA from 1 species